GUCCCUGUAGCGCAAUGCUUAGCGCGUUGGACUUUUUAUUCAAAGGUCGUGGGCUCGAAUCUCACCUAGGACG